AAACUGGAGAGUUUGAUCCUGGCUCAGAGCGAACGCUGGCGGCGUGCCUAACACAUGCAAGUCGUACGUGAAAGAGGGGCAACCCUUAAGUAGCGUGGCGCACGGGUGCGUAACGCGUGGGUAACCUACCCUUAGGAGAGGGAUAACCCUGGGAAACUGGGGAUAAUACCUCGUAAGACCACGUCCCGCAUUGCGGGAUGGGGUUAAAGGCGGCCUCUGCUUGCAAGCUGUCGCCUAAGGAUGGGCCCGCGUCCCAUCAGCUAGUUGGUAGGGUAAUGGCCUACCAAGGCUAUGACGGGUAGCUGGUCUG
rnacentral:rRNA from 1 species